UACGUAGGGUGCAAGCGUUAAUCGGAAUUACUGGGCGUAAAGCGUGCGCAGGCGGUUUUGUAAGUCUGUCGUGAAAUCCCCGGGCUUAACUUGGGAAUUGCGCUCGAAACUACGUGGCUGGAGUGUGGCAGAGGAAGGUGGAAUUCCAGGUGUAGCGGUGAAAUGCGUAGAGAUCAGGAGGAACACCUAUGCGAAGGCAGCUCGCUGGGACGUAACUGACGCUGAGACGCGAAAGCGUGGGGAGCAAACAGG
rnacentral:rRNA from 1 species